AACACAUGCAAGUCGAGGGGCAGCGGAGGAGUGCUUGCACUCUUGCCGGCGACCGGCGCACGGGUGAGUAACACGUAUGCAACCUGCCCUUGUCUGGGGGAUAAUCGGGGGAAACUCCGUCUAAUACCGCGUAUAUGUAUCCGGAGGCAUCUUGGGAUACAAGAAAGGCUUCGGCCGGACAAGGAUGGGCAUGCGGCGCAUUAGGUAGUUGGAGGUGUAACGGACCACCAAGCCGACGAUGCGUAGGGGUUCUGAGAGGAAGGUCCCCCACACUGGUACUGAGACACGGACCAGACUCCUACGGGAGGCAGCAGUGAGGAAUAUUGGUCAAUGGGCGAGAGCCUGAACCAGCCAAGUCGCGUGAGGGAAGAAGGUGCUAAGCAUUGUAAACCUCUUUUGUCAGGGAACAAGGAAAUCACGUGUGGUUUGAUGAGUGUACCUGAAGAAAAAGCAUCGGCUAACUCCGUGCCAGCAGCCGCGGUAAUACGGAGGAUGCGAGCGUUAUCCGGAUUUAUUGGGUUUAAAGGGUGCGCAGGCGGAUUGUCAAGUCAGCGGUAAAAUGUCGGGGCUCAACCUCGGCCGGCCGUUGAAACUGGUGAUCUAGAGUUGGAGAGAAGUAUGCGGAAUUCGUGGUGUAGCGGUGAAAUGCAUAGAUAU
rnacentral:rRNA from 1 species